rfam:Camponotus floridanus CamFlo_1.0_3.contig7375, whole genome shotgun sequence.
UUUUGUUAUAGGCCCGUGGGAGUCUGGGGAAAGAUUGUGGGCUCAUUAUGCGCGAUUGCCGGUGUCUUGACGAUCGCUCUACCUGUCCCCGUUAUCGUCUCCAAC